rnacentral:rRNA from 1 species
CGAGCGUUGUCCGGAAUUACUGGGCGUAAAGAGCUCGUAGGUGGUUUGUCGCGUUGUCCGUGAAAACUCACAACUCAAUUGUGGGCGUGCGGGCGAUACGGGCAGACUGGAGUACUGCAGGGGAGACUGGAAUUCCUGGUGUAGCGGUGGAAUGCGCAGAUAUCAGGAGGAACACCGGUGGCGAAGGCGGGUCUCUGGGCAGUAACUGACGCUGAGGAGCGAAAGCGUGGGGAGCGAACAGG